rnacentral:rRNA from 1 species
AUCUAUGACCAUGCCACCCUGAACACUCAUGAUCUCGUCUGAUGGUGAAGUUACGCAGGGUCGGGCCUGGUUAGUACUUGGAUGGGAGACCACCUAGGAAUACUGAGUGCUGUAGGCU